CGACAGCCAUUACAUCUUUAAAGAGCUGGCUGAGUUGACAUCCUUCCUCUUACCGCGCAACAUGUUGCCAAAGCUUCCACAAGCGCUCGUGAAGCAGAUGGGCUAUGAGCAAUGAGUACGGCUGCUAUUUCGAUUGUCAAUCUCCGCAAG
rnacentral:misc_RNA from 1 species